UAAGGAAUAUUGGUCAAUGGACGCAAGUCUGAACCAGCCAUGCCGCGUGAAGGAUGAAGGUCCUCUGGAUUGUAAACUUCUUUUAUCUGGGACGAAAACGGGAUUUUUAUCUCAAUUGACGGUACCAGAGGAAUAAGCACCGGCUAACUCCGUGCCAGCAGCCGCGGUAAUACGGAGGGUGCGAGCGUUAUCCGGAUUUACUGGGUUUAAAGGGUGCGUAGGUGGGCUUAUAAGUCAGUGGUGAAAUCUCCGAGCUUAACUUGGAAACUGCCGUUGAUACUAUAGGUCUUGAAUUAUCUGGAGGUAAGCGGAAUAUGUCAUGUAGCGGUGAAAUGCUUAGAUAUGACAUAGAACACCAAUUGCGAAGGCAGCUUACUACAUAUAAAUUGACGCCGAGGCACGAAAGCGUGGGGAUCAAACA
rnacentral:rRNA from 1 species